rnacentral:lncRNA from 1 species
AAAUUGUAGGGAACUGUACUGUCUGUGCCCUUUCCCUUCUCAAGAUGUGGGGUGCAUUGGUUGGUCAUAGAGAAAUGAAUGUGAUAUUAAACAGCACAUAUGUGUGGGAGGUGGGUGCAGGUGCUGAGGAAGAUAGGAAUAGGGAGAUAAGAAGACAGGAAGGGGACAGAGUGAGGGAGCUACCUUUCUGGAGGAGUCAGUGUAAGUGAGAACGAAGUUGAAGGGGAGAAGAGGUGGGUAAGAUGGGGCCAGCUGAACAGAGGCCUUCCAAGGCAGGCUGAGAUUUCACCUUAAUCUGAUAGAUACAGAUUCUUAAUAGACUAUUAUCUAUCUGUAAAUCAAGGAAGGUUUCCUGGUGAGAAGAAUGUAGAACUGAAAAGGGAGGAAAUGAGGGAGAAGUCUGUAUCCCUGGAAACUGCUUCUGCAGUGGAGAGUAGAGCAGUUUCAAGCCCAUCAGAAUAACUCUUUGUUUUUAUAAGAAUAACUCCUUGUAUGGUCCUGUUGUGAAUCUGCUCCCCAGGGGUCCCACAGGGACUGCUGAUGGCUCCUGGGGACAUUCUUUCCAUGACAGGUCUGUAUUCUCUUCCCUUCCAGGACCCAAGUGACAUAAUUAAGCAGGUAAGUGCUUCUUGACUUAUUUUAAAAGCAUUUUGUUUUCUCUGCUUUUAAUUUAUUAAAAUUUUAUAAGGGCUAGAAGGAGACCUAUUUAGAGGGAAAGGAAAUUCUUCUACUAGCACAAGUUGAAAUUAUUUGCAUGGAACUAAGGAGGCAGUUCUGGAAAAAGUAUUGUUAUGGAACUUAUGUUGAGAUGGAAAUGGGCUGAGGGAGAAAUGAAAUGGGAGCUUAUAGAAGAGCAUUAGAGAAUAUUAGAAUCCACAUUCAUUUCUAAAGCCUAGUUUACUUUUGUUUCCCCAAUUCUUCCCAGUUCUCAGCUGCAACUUCGGGCUGCAGUUUCCUCCAUACUCUGUAGAGCACAUUUCACCAUCAGAUCAUCCUCCUUGCUUGGUCAUGUUGGUUUCCUGUGCUCUGACUGUAGGAAGAGAACAGUUCUA